UACGAGGGGGGCGAGCGUUGUUCGGAAUUAUUGGGCGUAAAGGGUGCGUAGGCGGUUUGGUAAGUCUGAUGUGAAAUCUAUGGGCUCAACUCAUAGUCUGCAUCGGAAACUGCCGGGCUUUGAGUGUGGGAGAGGUGAGUGGAAUUCCUGGUGUAGCGGUGAAAUGCGUAGAUAUCAGGAGGAACACCUGUGGCGAAAGCGGCUCACUGGACCAUAACUGACGCUGAUGCACGAAAAGCUAGGGGGAGCAAACAGG
rnacentral:rRNA from 1 species